CGCUUUACUACGAGCACAGAGGUGUCGAGCAGCAGCACGUAUGACAACAGAAACCUCCCAAGAAAACUAUGUAUCCUGAGAGCAAACUAUGAGAGGAUUUCAUUGGUCGGUACGAAAUGCUUUAAAGUUUUCCUGAAAUAAACCACAGAGACAAAGACAUUUUGAAAUAUACUUCAAGGAUUUUUUGGUGAAAAGGCGAAGAAGCGAGAAAGGACCGGCGGCAGCGUCGAACAAGUUCGUUUAUGGAAGAAACCAAAAACACAACACAAGAGGAGCAGAUGAUAAGUUGUUUUGGUGCACAAGGAGCUGUAUCUUUGUAUGUUUUGUGUUCCAAGUGUCAGACACAGAGACAGAGAAGAGUCAUCCUCGGCUUGUUGGUAUCUGGCUGUAAUAUUACUCAGACCAAUAGAAGUGUCCCGGAGAAGCCUUGGAGAGGACGGGGCAGCGCUGAGUGGCGGGUGCAGAUUUCCUCGUAGUGUGGAGCUGCCGCUGCUGACUGAAUGCAGAGGAAACACUGAAAGCUGUUCUCCAGGCCUCCCUGCAGCUUCAGGGGAGAUUGUCAGAUGUGUACCCAGCAUUCAAAGCCCCUGGUCUGGCCACGGGGAUGGCAGCCUCUGCCCUGAACCUGAAUGGCCUUGGAGUCAUGAACAGCAGUAAUCAGUUUCACACCCAAGCAGGCUCCUCUAGUACCACCUCUCGAACUAGAACCAGUCCGGUCGGUCGACCUGUGCUGCCAGUUCCAGAUCGGAGCACCUAUUGUCAGUUACUGGGCGGGGGAACGCCGGGUGGAGGUAUCUACAGCCCAACCAGCCCUAAGGUAUCUCAACUGCCACAUCCAAC
rnacentral:lncRNA from 1 species